AUAAUAUUUCGUGCAUUCGCGGGAUUUGUACAUUUGAAACGUAUUAAGCAUGCAAUACCGAAUUUCGAUUGUAUGUUUAUCGCGGCGAUUUAUUACCUUUUAAUCAGCCAUUAAUGAUUCAACUUUGUUGUAUAUAUGGCAUUAUAUCGAACAACAUCGGACAAGUUAAAUUCUCACGAAUUGAAUUGCAUGAUUUUACUUUUCUCGCAAUAUUCUUCGAUAUUUGCGAAAAUGUGCGUCGUUUGUGGUUAAUAUCGAGAGUGCCGUUUUCAAAAUACCGCAUCGAUCAGUGUGCUCUCCUAAUUAAUUUGCGUGUAAUCAUAACGGUGUUUCCGCGAGUGAAUGUUGUGCAACGAAGGCAACAUGAGAGGAGUAGGAGGAGGAGGAGGACGAGUGGAAGUACGAAAGCAACGUUCAACAUAGUUGAUAUUAUAACUCUGCUGUUGCACAUCGUUGUCAGUGGGUGAUAAAUUAUCUUUUAUUUAAUCUGAGAUUUAUUGCCUAUAAAAUGGAUUGGUUGGAAUACAUUGGGAUUAAUGAAUAUAAUAAAUAUUUAAUCCUGAAACAAUGCAAUUAUCUAUCAAUGUGUUGCGCAUGCGACGAUCACACGUAUGUACAAAGUUUAUACAAUAGAUCUUAUUAUAUCGUUGCAUUAGUUAUGUGGGCACAUUUUUCUAUCUUAUUAUUUGACAGAAUACUAAUUGUGAAAUAUAUCAAUCGCUUGAACUAUUAUAGGAUAAAAUUGCAAAUAUAAAUGAGAAAAAUUAUGGGACAUAUUUUAUAGAUAGAAUAUCUCGAUAAAAAGUGACAUAUAAUGAUAAAGCGAUUCUUGUAAAAGAGAAAUUAAAAGAGAAAUUUAUUGUCCAAUAAAGAAUGAUAAUAUUA